GACGAACGCUGGCGGCGUGCUUAACACAUGCAAGUCGAACGGAAAGGCCCUGCUUGCAGGGUGCUCGAGUGGCGUACGGGUGAGUAACACGUGGGUGAUCUGCCCCUUACUUUGGGAUAAGCCUGGGAAACUGGGUCUAAUACUGGAUAGGACCAUGCUGUAGGUGGUGUGGUGGAAAGAUUUUUUCGGUAAGGGAUGAGCUCGCGGCCUAUCAGCUUGUUGGUGGGGUAAUGGCCUACCAAGGCGUCGACGGGUAGCCGGCCUGAGAGGGUGGACGGCCACAUUGGGACUGAGAUACGGCCCAGACUCCUACGGGAGGAAGCAGUGGGGAAUAUUGCACAAUGGGCGCAAGCCUGAUGCAGCGACGCCGCGUGGGGGAUGACGGCCUUCGGGUUGUAAACUCCUUUCAGCCAUGACGAAGCCUCUUUUGGGGUGACGGUAGUGGUAGAAGAAGCACCGGCUAACUACGUG
rnacentral:rRNA from 1 species